rnacentral:rRNA from 1 species
CACACCGCCCGUCGCACCAUGGGAGUGGAUUGCACCAGAAGUAGGCGUGCCAACCGCAAGGGGGCAACCUCCAAAGGUGUGGUUCAUGACUGGGGUG